GACGAACGCUGGCGGCGUGCCUAACACAUGCAAGUCGAACGGAAAGGCCCUGCUUUUGUGGGGUGCUCGAGUGGCGAACGGGUGAGUAACACGUGAGUAACCUGCCCUUGACUUUGGGAUAACUUCAGGAAACUGGGGCUAAUACCGGAUAGGAUAUCCUGCUGCAGGGUGGGCGUUGGAUCGUUUCGGCGGUUGGGGAUGGACUGGCGGCUUAUCAGCUUGCUGGUGGGGUAGUGGCUGACCAAGGCUUGGACGGGUAGCCGGCCUGGGAGGGGGGCCGGGCACAUGAGGACUGAGCUACGGCGCAGACGCGAACGGGAGGCAAGGGUGGGGAGUAUGACACAGUGGGCGGGAGCCUGUGGCGACAGCGCCGCGGGCGGAAAGACGGCCUGCGGGUAGAGAACCGCUGUCGCCUGAGACGAGGCGGUAGUGACGGUAAUGGGUGAAUAAGCACCGGCUAACUCCGUG
rnacentral:rRNA from 1 species